UCCUGCAGAAAAUACUGAUUUAGAGGAAAAGAAUACCUAUGUAAGAACAGCUCCUCUUUGGGCUUGAUUCUUGUUGAUCCAGACUCUGUUGUGUUGCAUUACAAGAGCAGUUCUUCUUGUAGGUUCCAUACUUGUAGGUCACAAGUAGAUGCACUAAAGUACUACAUGCAAGAACCAGAAGAAAUGACACAGCAGAACUUGGAUGUUAGAGGUUUUGAGACUUGUGACAAAAACAGCAUUUGCAAGGUCAAGAGAAAGAACUAAAGGCUUCAUGUGUAAAAACUUUACAUUUCUUCUAUUUGGAAAACCAUCUUGAUGGCAAACUGCAGAGUUAAAAUAUGCAAAUGUCCUGUCAGCUUGAUCA